AAUCAACGCUGGCGGCGUGCCUAACACAUGCAAGUCGAACGCGAAAGCUCCUUCGGGGGCGAGUAGAGUGGCGUCCGGGUGAGUAACACGUGGGUAAUCUGCCUUCGGGUGGGGAAUAACUCAGGGAAACUUGAGCUAAUACCGCAUAAUGCAGCGGCACCUUAUGGUGAUUAGUUGUUAAAGCGGGGGAUCGCAAGACCUCGCGCCUGAAGAGGAG
rnacentral:rRNA from 1 species